CCAGUGUACAAUCUACCAGCAGGGUAAGGGCGAAAAGGUGAGGUAAGAGCUCACCAGCGGCCCGGGUGACCGGGUCGGCUAGGCAAACCCCACCGGGAGCAAGGCCAAGCAGGGGGGAAGGCGCGGGAGGAGACACCCUCCCGGCCGGGUGGCUGCUCGUCGCCCUUGACCCCCGGGUAGGCCGCUAGAGGCGGCGGGUAACCGCCGUCCCAGAUGGAUGAUCGCCCUCGACAGAACUCGGCUUACAGGCCCACUUGGGCG
rnacentral:RNase_P_RNA from 1 species